AAGAGUGGCUAAAUGAA
rnacentral:sRNA from 1 species